rnacentral:lncRNA from 1 species
AAUCACUGAGCUAAAUCCCCCGGCCGAUUAAGCAGUAAAAAGUGCUGCCUAAGGGUGUGUGUGUAGUUAUCCUCCCAGAGCAUCACGGUCAGAGACCCAGUCAGUAUCUGGCAUGUGCAGAACUGAAAAAGCGGGCACAGUUUUCUCACCGUGCCUCUUCCUUGUGGGCAUAGUUGUGGAUAGUGUUCUUCUCAGUAUUUGCAGAUGCUUUUCUUAGCCUUCUGUGAAGCCUGUGGGACUGAAAGGGCUGCUGUGUCUGUCAUAGGAAGGGGUUGGGGUGCUGAGUGUCCUGGCCGUGGCAUGGAGCGGGGAGAGGUGUUUUGCAAGGGCUGCCUGUGUGCCAAGCCCAAUGCCAAGCCUUCUGCAGCUGGCCCUGCAUGGAGAAGCUGGGCUGGGUGGGUCUCUUCGCUGCACUCUGGCCAGCUCUGUCCUCGCACCAGCCUCCAGGGCUCCAGUGUGAGCGUGCAGGUAGAGCCUUGCUCCUCAAAGUCAGGUUCCCAGGGCAACAGCACUCACACCGCUGGCUAGAAAUGGAGAGUCACAGGCUCCACCAAGGACUUUGUGAGUCAUCUGCAUUUUAACAAGUGGUUUAUGGUAUGCACACUGGGGUCUGGGAAGGCUUUGGAAGCUGAGGGAGCUGAGGGGUGGCUGGAGCACCUCAUUUGAGCAUCUUCUAUGUCCCUGGCUUUGCCGAGUGCUUUAAAACAGUGUUUCUCCGGCCAUCUGAAUUAAAGGACAACUUGUGGGAUUUUUUGGUUUUGUUUUGUUCUUUCAUUUACUUAGGGACCAGUGAGCAUGACCAGUCUGUGCAAGUCUGACAACAGCGGAACUGGGUCUAUCCCCUACUCAGAAAGGGUCUGGCUAAAUUGCCAAGUUGCCCGGGUUGGGCUUGAAUUUGCCAUCCCAGAGUGCUGGGGUUACGGGGCCUGCACUACCUUGUCUGGCUUCACCGGGCUUCUUUUCCUGUGAGUACUGUAACUGAUGCUCAAUAGCGUUUAAAC